GCCUUUACCCUCUGCUCAGGCACCAGCCGUUUUUUUUAGCCUGGAUAAUACCUGCCAGACUCGGACUGUUUUCCUCCACUACAACACCAGAUUCCUGCCGUAAACCCUGGACCAUUGAUCAUCACAGCUAGCUAGCUGCCACUGAGUGACCCAGCCUCGAAGCUUGCACUGAGCCAGGUGCAUCUCCCGGCUAGCAAAUGAAAUUACCACAACUACAAUACCUCUUUCGCCAUCUGGCCCGGUCCCUUCAUCGACAUGGCGCCCCGCCGUACCACCACGACUGGUCCGCAGACGUAAUUCCAUCAGCUGUGCCUCCAAUCGGCCUUUACCGGACGACAGAGCAGACGCUUCUACUUACUCCGGACUGCUAACUUUAAACGCCGUGUCUCCCGCGUGCUAGCGUAGUAACGAAUACCUAGCGGCUUCCCUGUUUCAUCUAUUGCUGUACACUGGACCCUAUGAUCACUUGGCUACAUAGCUGAUGCCUGCUGGACUGUUCAUUUAUCACGGUCAUGGAACCUUUACACUCUGCUCUGGCGUUCUCACUCGAUGAUGGUGGCUGCUGGUGUUCCUAUCCUGGGAGGUUACAGAGGCAUGGCAGGGGCCUGCAGAGGUCGGGCCAAAGGCCCAUUACUUCACGAGUGCAGCACAGGUAACCUUUGCUGCCUUGCCUACAGAAUGGUGCCAACAUGGGAAGUGGUUGCUUGAGGGAUGGGCCCAAAAAAGUGUCUCCCAUUUUCCCCAUUAUCCCCUGUGCAUUUAUACCUGCGUUUUCUGUUUGUCUGUUGCCAGUUUGUCUUGUCUCGUCAAGCCUACCAGUGUGUUGUUCCAUACUCCUAUUUCUCUAGUUCCCGUUUUCCAGUCUUCCCAGUUCCAACCUUUUCUGCCUGCCCCCGAGCCUGCCUGCCUGCCGUCCUGUACCUAUCUGACUGAGCUGGUUACGAACUUCUGCCGGCCCUGACCCUGAGACUGCCUGCCGCCCUGUACCUGUCAAAGUUGGACCUGGUUACGAACCUCUGCCUGUCCUCGACCUUCCCUUUGCCUGCCUCCUGUGGAUUAAUAAACGAGUCUGUGUAUUGAACCUUCCGUCUCCUGUGUAUGCAUCUAGGUCAUAUCCUGAGUCAUGUUAGCUUAAAAUGUAAUAGCAAAACAGUUUGUUCAAAGCGGUCUCCAGACCCCCUUCACACUAUUCACUGUCCUUUUGGAAAAGUUAAAUUAACUUGGUAAUUGAAGGAGUUUCUGUUUUGAGGGAUAUAGGAUCUGUCAUGUUUGCUAUUAUACAGAAUAUAAUACGUGUCACCAUCUUUUAGAGAAAAUCUUGC
rnacentral:lncRNA from 1 species